rnacentral:tRNA from 1 species
ACUCUAGAUCCCAAAUUAGGGGUACUUAUUGAUGUUAAGUGUGAUUAUUAGGGUU